CAGAGUGCAGGAGAACAGAUGGUUAUGGCAUGACAGGCAGGUUACACAGAGGAUCAGACUCCACUGACAAAGAGAGAAACCAAUGCCAUCUGGGCGUCAAGUUCUGCAGAGAGAAGAUUUAGCUGGACCCGGUGAAAGAAGCAACCCAUAGACAGUCCCACACAGCAUGUAAGAAAGUCCCCACCUUUCUUUGUCUGGCAAGAAGUGAUGGUGGAGAUUAAUAGGAAUCUCAUGUUUGAUCAGGAGAUAAAUACCCCAGUUUGCCUGUUGGGGGACUACUCAGGGUUUUAAAAUGUGAAAGGUUUGAAACAGAUCCGUGUAUGCAGAGGAUUACAACGGAUUCGAUGGAUUACCACGGAUGAACUGGAUUUUUUAUAUUUAAAUAAAAUGGUUAACCAGG